AAUAUUGCGCAAUGGACGAAAGUCUGACGCAGCGACGCCGCGUGGAGGAUGAAGGUUUUCGGAUCGUAAACUCCUGUCAAGAGGGAAGAAACCUAUUAAGAAUAAUACUCUUAGUAAUUGACGGUACCUCUAGAGGAAGCACCGGCUAAUUCAGUGCCAGCAGCCGCGGUAAUACUGAAGGUGCAAGCGUUAAUCGGAAUCACUGGGCGUAAAGCGCUCGUAGGUGGCUUUGUAAGUCAGAUGUGAAAGCCCACGGCUCAACCGUGGAAUUGCAUUUGAUACUGCAUCGCUAGAGUAUAGGAGAGGGAAGUGGAAUUUCUGGUGCAGGAGUGAAAUCCGUAGAGAUCAGAAGGAACACCGGUGGCGAAGGCGACUUCCUGGACUAUUACUGACACUGAGGAGCGAAAGCGUGGGGAGCAAACAGGAUUAGAUACCCUGGUAGUCCACGCCGUA
rnacentral:rRNA from 1 species